rnacentral:rRNA from 1 species
AGCGAGCCGCGGUAACACCGGCGGCCCGAGUGGUGAUCGUGAUUAUUGGGUCUAAAGGGUCCGUAGCCGGUUGGUCAGUCCUCCGGGAAAUCUGAUAGCUCAACUAUUAGGCUUUCGGGGGAUACUGCCAGACUUGGAACCGGGAGAGGUAAGAGGUACUACAGGGGUAGGAGUGAAAUCUUGUAAUCCCUGUGGGACCACCGUGUGGCGAAGGCGUCUUACCAGAACGGGUUCGACGGUGAGGGACGAAAGCUGGGGGCACGAACCGGAUUAGAUACCCGGGUAGUCCCAGCCGUAAACGAUGCUCGCUAGGUGUCAGGCAUGGCGCGACCGUGUCUGGUGCCGCAGGGAAGCCGUGAAGCGAGCCACCUGGGAAGUACGGCCGCAAGGCUGAAACUUAAAGGAAUUGGCGGGGGAGCACAACAACGGGUGGAGCCCUGCGGUUUAAUUGGACUCAACGCCGGACAACUCACCGGGGGCGACAGCAAUAUGUAGGCCAAGCUGAAGACUUUGCCUGAAUCGCUGAGAGGUGGUGCAUGG